GAUGAACGCUAGCGGCAGGCCUAACACAUGCAAGUCGAGCGGUAGAAGGAGCUUGCUCCUUUGAGACCGGCGCACGGGUGCGUAACUCGUAUGCAAUCUACCUUGUACAGGGGAAUAGCUCAGUGAAAUUUGGUUUAAUGCCCCCUAGUAUAUAACCUUCGCAUGUUGGUUAUAUUAAGGUUCCAACGGUACAAGAUGAGGAUGCGGCCCAUUAGUUAGUUGGUAAGGUACCGGCUUACCAAGACGAGGAUGGGUAGGGGUCCUGAGGGGGGGAGCCCCCAGAGGGUUACUGGCACCCGGGCCACACACCUACGGGCCGCAGCAGUGAGGGAGACUGGACUGGGGUAGCUAGCCCGAUCCGCCCAUGCCGCGUGCAGGAAGGCGGUCCUAGGGAUGGUGAACUGCUUUUAGACAGGAGGAAUCCCUUCCGCGUGUGGGAGCUUGACGGUACUGUAUAAAUAAGAAUCGGCUAACUCCGUG
rnacentral:rRNA from 1 species